ACUCCAUUCCAGUAGUUGGCGGUAAUGCCCCUCCAGAAACAAAAGAAGAACAACAACUUCUUCUUCAACUAUAAACAACAAUCGAAAUUUUCUCCACGCAACAUUUUAAAAAAUGGCAUUUUAAACAACAAUACCGAAGUGCAGCAAUAAUAAUCAAGCAUAACUUUCUGAAUGUGAUGGGCGCCGCCAAUUUGAUUUGCUUGAUUCCCUCCUUCUUCGUCUUUUUCUUCUUGUGUUUUAUGGCGGUUGGCAAACAACUUUUGGUGCAUUACAGCCACCAACUGCUUGAUUUCCUCCUUAAAUACUGGCAGUAAUACCGCAGACCGCCACUAGGAGGCAAGGAGUCAAGGAACCGAGAUAGCCUGUAAACGGUCGUCAGAACCAAGCUCGGCCUGGUUAACUGAUCCAAGCUCGAACCGGUCUCAGCAUGGAUUGGUUUUUCAAGGGUAGUGUAAAUGGGGUACAUGUUUACAGGUGUAAAUCUAAUCAAAGCACCUCCUUCCUCAUGUUCUCUAACUCUCUUAUGUGUUUUUUACCAGAGGUGGAAAAAGUACUAAAAUAUCAUACUCAAGUAAAAGUACCAAUACUUGGAUGAAAUAUUACUCGAGUACAAGUAAAAUUACCCAUCAGAAAAAUUACUCAAGUAAAGUAAUACGUAGCUAAUUUAAAAUGUAUUUUAAGUAAAAGUUACUUAGUUACAUUUGAAAAAAAAAAAACUGUUGCCAACCUCGCCAAAAUAGUGCUGCGGGAAACACUGACUAAAAUGAAAUAGCCUACUUAGUUUUUCUUUUAGCAGUUUAUUUUCCCAAGCCACUUAGAGCUGCAGUAUAACGAUGAAAGAGCCGUAUGCGGCUCCGGAGCCGCGGGUUGCCGACCCCUGUGCUAGACAAAAUUAGCAAUGCCACGAAACAGGUUGUUUUGCUAAUUGGCUAUCAGUCAUGAAAACUUUGUUUGAAGUACCAAUGCACUAAAUACUUACCAAAACAUGCUUCCACAGAUUAGAUGUGGAGUUAUUGAAUGCUGCCAGUUCAGUCACCUUUGGCAGACACAUCUGGCAUUGCAUGAUGAUACUGUUGGCCCUCUUGAAUUUAAAUGAAAAGCAGUCUGUCAAAUGUGGCCAAGGAUUUUGGUCGUUUUGGGCAGCAGAAUUCGAUGUUUCAGCUAGCAUUUCUAGUGAAACGUUCUCUGAACCGUCGUUGCUCUCCUGAUCCACCUCCAUCUCAUUCCCAAUCUCCUACAGAAAGACUUGGCGCCUGGUAGCCUAGAUCUACAAGCUGAUCAUGUCACUCACUGCAGUGCUUCCGGGCCCGAUUUUUUGUCUUCCUUUCGGUUUUCCACAGUUUUUUUUUUACUCAGUAACGGAUGGGAUUUGUAAUGUAACGAAAUACAAUACUUCACUCAAAACGUAAUCAAGUAAAAUUUAAAUUACCAAUUUUAAAAACUACUUGAAAAAUACAAAAUACACAAAAAACCUACUCAAUACAGUAACUUGAGUAAAUGUAUUUCGUUACUUUCCACCUCUGGUUUUUACCACUACAAACUAAUCUUAAUGUGACUUCAGUUAAACAUAUUUAUGUAUUCCACAUCAAAGCAAAUGCAAUCUUAAGAAGAUUAGAUUUCAGGGAGACUUAAUUUUUUUUGUAAAAAUUAGUAAUAUUCCUUGUGUUUUAUAAUUACUCUAUGCCUUUCAGUAUGGAUCUGUCACAUAAAAUACCAACAAAGUAAGGUUUGUGAUUUCAACGUGUUCACCAGUAAAUUUUAAAAGGAUUUAUGCAGUUUUAGUAAGGUACUGUAUUUUCAAUUCACCUGAUGAUUUUUAGGUUUAUAAAGCCAAUAAAUCUGGUUUUAAUGUUCUCCAAAUCAGCUCCUUUUAAUGUUAAAAUCCAAAGUAGGAAAAUCAGCAGAUAAUGUUUAUUGAAUGAAAUACCAUCUGGUUAGACCUUUGUGGUUUACCUAUUAAUCCAAAUAAUGCCUGCAACAUAUAAGUGAUGUACAGGUUGUUUUUGAACAUGAAAAUGUCUCUUCCCUGCAAUUUGUUUGAGAAAUGGGCUCCCACCGGUUAGAUCAUUUGAAUUUCCCUUCAGCUUGAGCCAUGAACUUGAAGACCCAGUUGUCACAUUGUGCUCUCAACACACAGGCUCCUUUCACAGUCCGGCGUCCCAGAGGAGAGGUGCGCGCAUGUUUGUGUUUCUGCGAAUCAUAACUGCUGCUUUGCAUUCAGCGAGGUGUGUCGAAAGCAGAUUACAGGCAUGAACUCUGGCAAGAACGGAGAGAGCUGUGUUUCUUGUUUUUUCUUUUUCCAAGACUGUCCUUUGGGGUGAGGUAGUAGGUUGUAUAGUUUUAGGGUCACACCCUUCCUGUCAGAUAACUAUACAACUUACUGUCUUUCCUGAAGUGGCUGUAAUGUCGUCAGACGCUGCCCCUGGAGUUCUCUGAAAUCGGCAUAACCCUGGAAAUGGCAAGUGUGAGGACACAAGAUGUAGCAGGAAUGCAGAAUUUGACCAUAGUUGCUAAGUGACGUCUAUUUACAGUGACCUGAUGGGAUAGAGGGGAGAGAGAGAAGAGGAAAGCUAUGCACAACCAAGAAAAAACAACAAGGAACAAAGGAGACAAAGUAUGUUUGUUUAAAUGACUAAAUAAAAUACUUAUGACACUUGA